UNAUAANCAUUNUUAUACUGCGAAACUGCNAGCGGCUCAUUAUAUCAUUUAUAAUUUACUUGAUCGUAUUUCCCCUACAUGGAUAACGGUAAGACUUCAGCAACUACAUGUUGCUAAAACCCUGAACGUCUCNGGGGGGAGGAUAGGAUGAAUUUAUUAUAUCACCACCCAACGCANGGCAUUCAACUUGACAGAACUUGUGUCUGUCAGGGUCCUGGUCCUUUUAGGACAACACCAAGGUGAUUCACAAUAACUAAUCGAAUCACAGAACCAUUAGCCGGCGAUGAUACUUACAAAUUUCUGCCCAAUCAACUUUCGACGGUAGUAUAGAGGACUACCGUNGUNACAACGGGUAACGGGGAACGAUCCAGUAUUUUCUGUGCUUUCAUGUGCCGUUNGCAGUUGAGGUCUACGAAGGNUCUUAAGUCUNUGAAGANC
rnacentral:rRNA from 1 species